GACGAACGCUGGCGGCGUGCUUAAUACAUGCAAGUCGAACGGAAAGGCCCUGCUUUUGUGGGGUGCUCGAGUGGCGAACGGGUGAGUAACACGUGAGUAACCUGCCCUUGACUGUGGGAUAACUUCAGGAAACUGGGGCUAAUACCGGAUAGGAGCUCCUGCUGCAUGGUGGGGGUUGGAAAGUUUCGGCGGUUGGGGAUGGACUCGCGGCUUAUCAGCUUGUUGGUGGGGUAGUGGCUUACCAAGGGUUUGACGGGUAGCCGGCCUGAGAGGGUGACCGGCCACAUUGGGCCUGCGAUACGGCCCAGACUCCUACGGGAGGCAGCAGUGGGGAAUAUUGCACAAUGGGCGGAAGCCUGAUGCAGCAACGCCGCGUGCGGGAUGACGGCCUUCGGGUUGUAAACAGCUUUCGCAUGUGACGAAGAGUGAGUGACGGUACUGAGUAAAGAAGCACCGGCUAACUACGUG
rnacentral:rRNA from 1 species